rnacentral:rRNA from 1 species
UACGGGAGGCAGCAGUGGGGAAUAUUGCACAAUGGGCGCAAGCCUGAUGCAGCCAUGCCGCGUGUAUGAAGAAGGCCUUCGGGUUGUAAAGUACUUUCAGUCGUGAGGAAGGUGUUAAGGUUAAUAACCUUAGCAUUGACGUUAGCGACAGAAGAAGCACCGGCUAACUCCGUGCCAGCAGCCGCGGUAAUACGGAGGGUGCGAGCGUUAAUCGGAAUUACUGGGCGUAAAGGGCACGCAGGCGGUUAAUUAAGUUGGAUGUGAAAUCCCCGGGCUUAACCUGGGAAUGGCAUUCAAGACUGGUUAGCUAGAGUCUUGUAGAGGGGGUAGAAUUCCAUGUGUAGCGGUGAAAUGCGUAGAGAUGUGGAGGAAUACCGGGUGGCGAAGGCGGCCCCUGGGACAAAGACUGACGCUCAUGUGCGAAAGCGUGGGGAGCAAACAGGAUUAGAUACC